rnacentral:rRNA from 1 species
CCUACGGGAGGCAGCAGUGGGGAAUAUUGCGCAAUGGGCGAAAGCCUGACGCAGCGACGCCGCGUGAGGGAUGAAGGCCUUCGGGUCGUAAACCUCUUUCAGCAGGGAAGAAGCGAAAGUGACGGUACCUGCAGAAGAAGCACCGGCUAACUACGUGCCAGCAGCCGCGGUAAUACGUAGGGUGCAAGCGUUGUCCGGAAUUAUUGGGCGUAAAGAGCUCGUAGGCGGUCUGUCGCGUCUGCUGUGAAAACUCAGGGCUUAACCCUGAGCUUGCAGUGGGUACGGGCAGACUAGAGUGCGGUAGGGGAGACUGGAAUUCCUGGUGUAGCGGUGAAAUGCGCAGAUAUCAGGAGGAACACCGGUGGCGAAGGCGGGUCUCUGGGCCGUAACUGACGCUGAGGAGCGAAAGCAUGGGGAGCGAACAGGAUUAGAUACCCUGGUAGUCCAUGCCGUAAACGUUGGGCGCUAGGUGUGGGGCUCGAUCACGAGUCGUGCGCAGCUACGCAUAGCGCCCGCCGCGGGAGGUACGGCCGCGACGGACGUAAACGUACGAAACGAAGUAGACGGCGUGAGACGUGCCGACGGACGACGACGAGGGAGGAGG